AACGAACGCUGGCGGCAGGCUUAACACAUGCAAGUCGAACGCUCCCUUCGGGGAGAGUGGCAGACGGGUGAGUAACGCGUGGAGACGUGCCCUUCACUUCGGGAUAGCCCUUGGAAACGAGGUGUAAUACCGAAUACGCCGUAUUGGGAAAGAUUUAUCGGUGAAGGAUCGGUCCGCGUUAGAUUAGAUAGUUGGUGGGGUAACGGCCUACCAAGUCGACGAUCUAUAGCUGGUCUGAGAGGAUGAUCAGCCACACUGGGACUGAGACACGGCCCAGACUCCUACGGGAGGCAGCAGUGGGGAAUAUUGGACAAUGGGCGCAAGCCUGAUCCAGCCAUGCCGCGUGAGUGAUGAAGGUCUUAGGAUUGUAAAACUCUUUCGCUAGGGAAGAUAAUGACGGUACCUAGUAAAGAAGCCCCGGCUAACUUCG
rnacentral:rRNA from 1 species